rnacentral:rRNA from 1 species
AGGGCGUAGGGAGGAUGCCUUGGCACUAGGAGCCGAUGAAGGACGUGGUAAGCUGCGAAAAGCUACGGUGAGCCGCAAGCAGGCUUUGACCCGUAGAUGUCCGAAUGGGGGAACCCGGCGGUGGUAAUGCGCCGUCACCCAUGGAUGAACACAUAGUCCAUGAGGAGGGAACGCGGAGAACUGAAACAUCUAAGUAUCCGUAGGAAGAGAAAGAAACAUCGAUUUCCUUAGUAGCGGCGAGCGAAGAGGAAAGAGCCUAAACCGUGUGUCUUCGGACAUGCGGGGUUACGGACCGGCGUAAUCAAAGGAUGUGUUAGUUGAACACCUCUGGAAAGAGGGGCCGAAGAAGGUAAAAGCCCUGUAAAUGAAAACGCAGACAGCGAGGCUGGUAUCCAGAGUACCACGGGACACGAGGAAUCCCGUGGGAAGUCGGGGGGACCACCCCCCAAGGCUAAAUACUACCUAGUGACCGAUAGAGUAUAGUACCGUGAGGGAAAGGUGAAAAGUACCCCGGGAGGGGAGUGAAAGAGUACCUGAAACCCUAUGCCUACAAGCAGAGGAAGCACGUUAAAGUGUGACCUUGUACUUUUUGUAGAACGGGCCGGCGAGUUACGUUGUGCAGCGAGGUUAAGGUGUUGAGCACCGGAGCCGUAGGGAAACCGAGUCUGAAUAGGGCGAAUUAGUUGCACACCGUAGACCCGAAACCGGGUGACCUAUCCAUGAGCAGGAUGAAGGUGGGGUAAAACCCACUGGAGGUCCGAACCACACCAAUGUUGAAAAAUUGGGGGAUGACUUGUGGAUAGCGGAGAAAUUCCAAUCGAACCCGGAGAUAGCUGGUUCUCCUCGAAAUAGCUUUAGGGCUAGCCUCGAGAACUAGGAACAUGGGGGUAGAGCACUGAAUGAGCUAGGGGGCCUCAAAGCUUACCGAACUCUAUCAAACUCCGAAUACCAUGUGACCGAUACUCGGGAGUCAGACUACGUGAGAUAAGUCUCGUGGUCAAAAGGGAAACAGCCCAGACCAACGACUAAGGUCCCAAAGUGCAGGUUAAGUGGAAAAGGAUGUGCAAUUGCUUAGACAACCAGGAUGUUGGCUUAGAAGCAGCCACUCAUUUAAAGAGUGCGUAAUAGCUCACUGGUCGAGUGAUUGUGCGCCGAAAAUGUACCGGGGCUAAACCUGCCACCGAAGUCUUGGAAUUCAGUUUACUGGAUUGGUAGAGGAGCAUCGUGCAUGGGCUGAAGCAUGACCGGAAGGACAUGUGGACUGUGCACGAGAGAGAAUGCCGGCAUGAGUAGCGAGAGCAGAGUGAGAAUCUCUGCCGUCGAAAGCCUAAGGUUUCCUGAGGAAGGUUCGUCCCCUCAGGGUAAGUCAGGACCUAAGCCGAGGACGAAAGUCGUAGGCGAUGGACAACAGGUUGAUAUUCCUGUACCACCUUGACACGUUAUACGAUGCAGUGACACAGAAGGAUAGGCAAAGCGGGUUGAUGGUAGAACCCGUCCAAGCACUGAGGGUGCAGCGUAGUGAAGUACGCGCUGUGAUAAGCCUGGGGUGUGAUGGGGACAGAAAAUAAGUAUGGAAGUUGCUGAAUUCACGCUGGCGAGAAAAGCUGCUAAGGAGUGUUAUUGGUGCCUGUACCGCAAACCGACACAGGUAGGCGAGGAGAGAAUCCUAAGACGAGCGGGAGAACCCUUGUUAAGGAACUCGGCAAAAUGACCCCGUAACUUUGGGAGAAGGGGUGCCUCGAAAGAGGCCGCAGUGAAUAGGCCCAAGCGACUGUUUAGCAAAAACACAGGUCUGUGCCAAGUCGAGAGACGAUGUAUACAGGCUGACGCCUGCCCAGUGCCGGAAGGUCAAGGGGAAGUGUUAGGGCAACCGAAGCACGGAACUUAAGCCCCGGUGAACGGCGGCCGUAACUAUAACGGUCCUAAGGUAGCGAAAUUCCUUGUCGGGUAAGUUCCGACCCGCACGAAUGGCGUAACGAUUUGGGCACUGUCUCAACAAGGGACCCGGCGAAAUUGUAGUAUGCGUGAAGAUGCGCAUUGCCCGCGAUAGGACGGAAAGACCCCGUAGAGCUUUACUGUAGCUUGGUAUUGGAUUUUGGCAGCGCUUGUACAGGAUAGGUGGGAGGCUAGGAAACGAGGACGCCAGUUUUCGUGGAGCCAUCGUUGGGAUACCACUCUUGUGUUGCUGGAGUUCUAACGUCGCGCGGUUAUCCCGGCGACGGACAGUGCCAGGUGGGCAGUUUGACUGGGGCGGUCGCCUCCUAAAAGGUAACGGAGGCGCCCAAAGGUUCCCUCAGAAUGGUCGGAAAUCAUUCGCAGAGUGCAAAAGCAGAAGGGAGCUUGACUGUGAGAGAGACAUCUCGAGCAGGUACGAAAGUAGGGUUUAGUGAUCCGGCGGCAUUAAGUGGGUUAGCCGUCGCUCAACGGAUAAAAGCUACCUCGGGGAUAACAG